CUCUGCCUACUCAGUGGCAGUUUCCCUCAUUUCAUUUUUAGGUUUAAAAGCAUCAACUGGAAUUGACUUACUUUCCAAAACUGGACCAACACAAAUUGGACUUGAUACUGUAGAUUCACUAGCAAACAAGCAAUGUCAUCUAAUGAACAAGAAAGGCUCUGCUGUUAUAAUGGAGAAGUCCUUAUUUUUCGUUUGUCUGAAGGAAAUUUUGUAAAUGAAGGGCCUAAAAAAACUCCUGUGUUACAUGUCAGAAGAAUGGUAUUUGGCAGAGGACCAGGGGGAUUUGUUCAGAAAUCCACUGGAUUCCUUAGCAUAAAAGAAGAAUACUCUCAUUUAAAAAUUAUGUGUUGCAACUGUGUUUCAGAUUUCAGAACUGGAAUCAAUCUGCCUUAUGUUAUGAUACAGUGCAUUAAAGAAAAGAACAUUUUCAAAUAUUUUCUACUGUUUCUUCAUGGUACCAAUAAAUUUGAAAAGUGUUUGAGUUUUAGACUAGGCUAUGAGAUGAAGGAUAGUAUAAGGGUCCUUAAUGGCCCUUUAGUUUUAUGGAGACAUGGUCAGACAUUCUUUUAUGUCUCUUCUCAAACUGGCAAAGUUGUCACUGUGUCUAUGAACUUUUCCUCUGUUGUGUGGGCAGGGGAGAUUGAAAAUCUAGGUAUGGUUUUGUUAGGACCAAAGAGAUGUUAUUUAUCUGCAGAAGGAUGCACUCCAAAGCCUUCAAAAUCAGAUUAUGCAACUUGGAAUACCCACUUUUGUGCAUACUCUCUUGAAAGGGCAGAAAUAAUAAGUGAUACAUAUAUUAUCCCUCCUGCUUAUACCAGCAUGAUAACAUUUGUACAUGUCUGUUCAACUGAGAUUGUCAAUGGCCAGUUAAGAAUGUCUCUGAUAGCCCUUACUCAAAGAAAUCAACUGAUUUCAUUCCUAAAUGGGACUCCUACAAGUGUGUGCCAGCUUCCAUUUGGAGAUCCUUGUGCAGUUCAACUUGUGGAUUCAGGUGGAGAAGACCUCCUUUUCAUCAUAUCCUUUAAGUCCAGUGAUGCGUGUGCUGUUUGGGAAAAGAACUUUCAGGUCGCUGCCAAGUGGCAGAAGAUUAGUUCAGUACUGAUAGAUGACUUCUUUGGAACUGGAACGGAACAAGUACUGCUACUUUUUAAGGACUCCUUGAAUUCAGAUUGCUGGAGUUCCUUUGAAAUAAUAGGCCAUGACACCUUAAACUGUUUGAGUGAAACGUUGGAUUGCAAUGAAGAUGACCUAUUUGACGACAAACAUGAGAAUUGUUAUUUGGUGGUCCUACCUCUGGAAAGAAGAUUGAAAGUUGGUUUCAUUUCUAUUUGGAAAUUACAGCAGCAUCUCUUGCUUAAGGAAAAAAUUAUAUCAAAAUCUUACAAGGCUUUGAUGAACUUGUUUCAAAGAAAAGAUGAUAGUUCAUUAAGUGCAGAGGAGGAAUGUCUUGUUACUCUUUGUGGUGAAGAAGAAAAUCCUGUCUGUACCUUUGACGAAAAGUUAUCAGACAAUUUUCAAGAUUUAGAACAGCUAGUAGAGAAGAUGUGGUAUCGGGUAAUAGAAGAUAGCUUGGUUAUUGGAGUGAAAGCCACAUCUUCUUUGAAGGUGUCCCUGAAUCAUGUGACUUUAUUGCUAUCAGUGGAUCAAGGCCCUAACGCCACCUUUCCAUUUAUUAAGUGUCAAAAUAAAAUAUUUAAGUUGACUCGGAAUUCAUCUCCAGUACUAAGCUCAGUGCCAUAUGAAGUAAGAUCAGAGGUAAAAAGAAUCAAGUUGAGUGUUGAUAGUAAAGAAGAGAAAAAGGAAAGCGUUGUUUGUGAACAACCAUUGAAGAAAGACUAUGUACAGAUGAUUACCGCUGUAACAGCUCUUCCACCGCUUUUAACAUUCAGUAAUGUUUGUUGUGUUGUGCUGCUACAAAUGAGAGAGAAUGGUAACUCUUCUGAAGCUCAUUAUGUUCAAUGUGGCAGAAUUGUUUUAAGUAUAGAAGAUCUUUCAAGUGGGAAAUACGUGCUGACAUUUCCAGAGAAGAAACCUAUAGAACACAUGGAAGAUCUCUUUACACUUCUUGCAGCAUGGCACAGAGCUUGUUUUCAAAUCACAUCACCCAUGUUUGCUCUGACUUCGGUGAGGGUAUGGCUCUUAGAACACAUGAAGUGUGAAGUCCUCAAAGAAUUUCCAGAAAUUUGCUUUUGCAAAAGGCCAGGAAGUUUCUAUGGGACACUCUUCAACUGGAAACAAAGAACACCAUUUGAAGGAAUUUUAGUAGUCUAUUCCAGGAAUCAAACAGUUUUGUUCCAGUGCCUUCAUGAUCUCAGCACAGUUCUCCCUAUAAACAGUUUCUUCAAAUAUCUAGAGUUAGAAAGUGAGGAUUUUCUAAUUGGUCAUUUGGCAGCAGCUUUGGAGAAGGAAUUGGUCACCCUUGCUUCUCCUUCUUCUGCCUUAGUGAAGGUUGAAACGAGCUUGGUGCAGAAUUGUGAAGUAAGCAAAGAAAAGAGUAGUGAUGAUGUGACUGCUUUAUCAGACAUAGAGGAAAGCAUCCAUCUCUACAGAAAAGAACUUCAGAGAGAAAAGGAGCAAAUGUUGGGGACGAACUUAAAACUCAGGCUAGAACCCUAGUGAUGCAGACCACUGUGAGGAAGGGGAGUAGACAGUAUUCUGGACUUCCACUUGCUGCACUGUGCUUGCUGGCUCCUGACGUAGAGAAUCAAGACAAAGAGCUUGGCUUUAGCACAGUCUGGCUAUUGGUACCUCUGUCCAGGCAGCCGGCCCAACUACAGGCUCUUCAUCUCACCACUUGUUUGCAUGAGCUCUUUGGAGGCCUUCACCCUGCCAUAUUCCAGGACCAAGGUAAGAAAUGACUUCCUAUGAUUCCCCUAUACCUCCUUUCCUUUGAAUCUUGAAGCUGGUAUGCAGUUCCCACAAGUCUUCCCAGGCUGAAUAGUGCUGCCUUCUCUUCUUAUAUUGACAUCACAAAAGGAGUUCAGUAGCUUUUACACAACAAUUAAAAUGAGUUUCAAGAGUAUACCUACCUUGGGCACUCCAUUCAACAUCUGCCUUAACUGGUGAUCUAUUACACAAGCAGUCAGAAAGUUCUGCCCUUUUCAAUGCCAAAAAAAGGCAAAAUGUUUCCCAAUUCCUUUCAGUGCCAAAAUGUUUCCCAAUACCCUUCAUGUGCAUUGCCACCACCUUGUUCAGGCCACAUCUUUCACCUGGAUUGUGGUGGCGGCUUCCUAACAUUGCCUGCUUUGUAGUGCUCUGGUCCAGUCUACAUCUCAAACAGUAACCAGAAUACUCUUUCCAAACGCAAAUCAGAUCUUGUCACCUCCUGGUUCAAAACAAGUCAGAUGCUUCCCACUGACCUCCUAGUGAACCCCUUGACAUGAUUUUACAAGACCAUCAUGGUCUGGUCACUAUGUAUAAUACUUCUUCAGCAUUAUGUGGCAUCGUCCUCUGCCUCCCCCACUGCUCACUGAUCAUCCCAUUCCUUCUUUCCUAGUCCUAUCCUCUUAUUUAUUUUCCCUUUCUGGCAAAUUCUCAUCAAUCAAUAUCUCUUUCUUCCUCUCUCCCUGUCUGGGCUCCCCUCCCAGCCUUCCCCGUCUUGUUCCCUUGCCUGACGUAAUCUUCCCUCCAUUCCUCACUGGUAUACGGCCUACUUCUCCUUUGUGUCACAAUUUAAAGCCAGUUGAUGGGAAAAGUCUUUGCUGAUCCCUCAAGACUAGGUUAGAGUCAUGUUUUAUUUAUUCCCACAACUAUUGAACUAUUUUAUUGUAUUGUAAUACCCAUCAUGUGGGAAUUAUAAUUUCCCAUCUCAUUUGUUCUUUUUUGUUUGUUCCCAACUAGAAAGGAAGCUCAUUGAAGGCAUGGACUUUUAAGAAUUUAAUCAAUAGGAGGUACAGAAUAAAAAUGUGAUCAUUGGAGGUCA
rnacentral:lncRNA from 1 species